UGGAUUAUGUUGUUUAAUUCGACGCAACGCGAAGAACUUACCAGGCCUUGACAUACUCGGCAAAGCUCUAGAGAUAGAGUGGAGGUUAUCCGGGAUACAGGUGGUGCAUGGCUGUCGUCAGCUCGUGUCGUGAGAUGUUGGGUUAAGUCCCGCAACGAGCGCAACCCUUGUCUUUAGUUACCAUCAUUCAGUUGGGGACUCUAGAGAGACUGCCGGUGAUAAACCGGAGGAAGGUGGGGAUGACGUCAAAUCAUCAUGCCCCUUAUGGCCUGGGCUACAAACGUAAUACAAUGGCGUAUACAAAGGGAUGCGGAAGGGCGACCUGGAGCAAAACUCACAAAGUACGUCUCAGUUCAGAUUGGAGUCUGCAACUCGACUCCAUGAAGGCGGAAUCGCUAGUAAUCGCGGAUCAGCAUGCCGCGGUGAAUACGUUCUCGGGGUUU
rnacentral:rRNA from 1 species